AUGGCCUCCUGGUUGUCGCAGGUGAAGGUGGUGCCUGUAGGGGGCAGCAGUGAGACGUACAGACCUCCUCAAUAUCAUUAUAAACAGUUUAUGGUGGUGGGAGAGAAGGAGUGUGCAGGAAGUGAUGCGCUCACUGAAGGAACUCAGACAGACACGCAGCGGUCUGGAGGUGUUUUAAAGGCUCACAAGAAAGGCGUCAGAAUGGAGAGGACGUGACUCACAUGGGAGAAAAACACGCUCACACCCCAACAAAUGUCUAUCGGAUCCACAAAGGGCACCAAAAAAGACUCUACAGAGGUUUUAUCGGAUGCACGUAUGAAAGAAGGUGACAUGCUGGAGUGUGUGCAGGGGUUAUGGGACUUUGAGACUCUCUCCGCAGACCGAAGCCAAGCCAGAAAGAAAAAGACAAAAUGAGAUCUGAGAAGGAAAGUUCAUGGCCUGGUUCUGCUUGAGGACUCACUGAAGUGCUCAUGGGAAGCAUUUAAGCUUCCACUGGACAUGAGAGAAGACAUAUGCAUGCAAAAAAAUACACACUUAAGUUUAGUACUUAAUGUUAAAUGUUUCAGUCACAUAGGCCUUCAGUAAGUAUGUGCAAUAGGAAUGCUUCACUUACACUCUUUAAAUGCAAAAUCUUGCAUAGAGGUCUCAUUUCUUUAAAGGGGUAAUGAACUGAGAAACCGAAAUUCUCUUGAUCUUUUGAACUAUAAGAGGUCCUUGUGCUAUAAAAACUUCCUGUUAUUUUCCAAACUCAAAACUUUCUCUUUAGUCUGAAAACAGCUUAUACUGAAGACAGUCUGCCAAACACAACUCUAUGAUGAAACAGUGUGUGGCUAAGCACCGCCUCCGCAGAAGAUGAUCAACACCUGCUUCUACAGCGCUGCCUGUUUAGCCCCGCCCCCGAUUCUGUGAUGAUGAUGAUCAAAGUACCCAAAAAGAUUUGAGGCUGUAAUUGGUGCCAAAGGUGCUUCGACAAAGUAUUGAGCAAAGGCUGUGAAUACUUAUGUGCAGUACAUGUCAUUUUUUAUUUUUAAUAAAUUUGCAAAGAUUUCAAACAGACUCCUUUCACGUUGUCAUUUUAAGGAAAAUAAUGAAUUUGAUCCAUUUUGGAAUAAGGCUGUAACAUGACAAAAUGUGGAAAAAGUGAAGUGCGGUAUAAGGUUUUUUUUUUUAACAUUAUAAGAGUACCUUAGAGAACAGUUUAAAAAAAAAAAAAAAACACCAAGGCAAUUCAUGACCCCUUUAAAGAAUUUGCUUUCUCUUGGAGUCUGAGAGCCAAAAAAAGAAACUUGUUGCAAUUUUAUAAAACUGUCAUGCUAGGGAUGGCAUAUCUUCCUCUGUCGUCCCACACACACACACACACACACACACACUCCCCUGCACAAGGUCAUUCUUCAUUCAGAGGGCAGUGUUGCAGAAGUUCACCGGGGGUUAUUUUAGGCUGCAGUGGUUUAGGAGUGUUUACAGCGCCGCGUGCAUGAGGCGGUGUGUUUGAUGGUAUAUAAGUGCGGGCACGGGUUUGCUAAUGGUGUCAGGGCUGCAUAUAGAUGUGUAAAACCCUUCUGUGAAAGAGUGGUGACAUUGACAUGAACAGAGGGAAACGGCAGGCCUUCCUGCGUUGCUCUGAGAAGGUCUGACUAUCAGUGAGAGCAUGUCAGGCAGGAAUGAUUAAGGGACGCGCUUAAAAUAACCCGCCUUGAGCUCCUAGUGCACUCGCUCUCCCUGAUAAAAAUACACCCGUACAGUUCACGGCCACUGAAACAAAAACAAGAGGUAAUCUCCUAAUUUGUCAUUCAUGAUUCAGUGGGAUUUACAGUACACUGGUUCAGUAUUCCCAUCCUCCUGAAGUAACCUUACGAUAAGUGCCUUGUUUUAAGAGCACAGUGAUCGUAAUUCAUGGAUCACACCUUAAUUUGGACCUACGUCCUUUUGGUUAGAAGCCCAGAGCUUUAACCUCUGGACCAGUGGUUCUCAAGUCUUUUUUGGGCCAGCGCCCCUUAACCAUUAUUCAGGUACAUAGGUAAUGAAUAAAAACCAAGUCAAUUAUGUUGCAAAUAAGUAUUUAUUAAAACUGGCAGAAAGACAUUGCAAGGCUUUUAGUGGUAAAAUAAAAUUUUCAGUAUUUCAACAGUUAAAAUCUUAUCAUAAAGAUAACAUAGCAUCACAAAAUAACUACAAAUACCUGUUAAAAAAAAAAAAGCCAUAUUCUGAGUAGAACAUUAACUUUCUAUAAAAAUGAAGGUCAAUCAACAUAAUUUGUAUAAUUUUGGUAAAAGAAAAAAAAAUGUUUUAAAAGGAUUAAAGUAAAAUGCUGGAAUCAACACAAAUCACAAAUUCUGUUGUUUGAGCUUAUGUUCUAUUACAUUAAGAAUAUUCAUGCAAAAGACAAAUUAAUAAAUACAUACUCAGAGUCCAUCAACUUUCUGAGAUGAGCACACACACAAGGGUUGUCCCUCUUCUCUGAGACCUUUCCACUUGUUUUGCCUCUAUGUAUCUGUCUUGUAUCCAGUGAGUGUUGUGAUUCCAAGAAAACAUCUGCACAUAAAAACAAGCACAAGCAUG
rnacentral:lncRNA from 12 species